rnacentral:rRNA from 1 species
GGGUUGUGAGGUUAAGCGACUAAGCGUACACGGUGGAUGCCCUGGCAGUCAGAGGCGAUGAAGGACGUGCUAAUCUGCGAUAAGCGUCGGUAAGGUGAUAUGAACCAUUAUAACCGGCGAUUUCCGAAUGGGGAAACCCAGUGUGAUUCGUCACACUAUCAUUAACUGAAUCCAUAGGUUAAUGAGGCGAACCGGGGGAACUGAAACAUCUAAGUACCCCGAGGAAAAGAAAUCAACCGAGAUUCCCCCAGUAGCGGCGAGCGAACGGGGAGCAGCCCAGAGCCUGAAUCAGUGUGUGUGUUAGUGGAAGCGUCUGGAAAGGCGUGCGAUACAGGGUGACAGCCCCGUACACAAAAAUGCACAUAUUGUGAGCUCGAUGAGUAGGGCGGGACACGUGGUAUCCUGUCUGAAUAUGGGGGGACCAUCCUCCAAGGCUAAAUACUCCUGACUGACCGAUAGUGAACCAGUACCGUGAGGGAAAGGCGAAAAGAACCCCGGCGAGGGGAGUGAAAAAGAACCUGAAACCGUGUACGUACAAGCAGUGGGAGCACGCUUAGGCGUGUGACUGCGUACCUUUUGUAUAAUGGGUCAGCGACUUAUAUUCUGUAGCAAGGUUAACCGAAUAGGGGAGCCGAAGGGAAACCGAGUCUUAACUGGGCGUUAAGUUGCAGGGUAUAGACCCGAAACCCGGUGAUCUAGCCAUGGGCAGGUUGAAGGUUGGGUAACACUAACUGGAGGACCGAACCGACUAAUGUUGAAAAAUUAGCGGAUGACUUGUGGCUGGGGGUGAAAGGCCAAUCAAACCGGGAGAUAGCUGGUUCUCCCCGAAAGCUAUUUAGGUAGCGCCUCGUGAAUUCAUCUCCGGGGGUAGAGCACUGUUUCGGCAAGGGGGUCAUCCCGACUUACCAACCCGAUGCAAACUGCGAAUACCGGAGAAUGUUAUCACGGGAGACACACGGCGGGUGCUAACGUCCGUCGUGAAGAGGGAAACAACCCAGACCGCCAGCUAAGGUCCCAAAGUCAUGGUUAAGUGGGAAACGAUGUGGGAAGGCCCAGACAGCCAGGAUGUUGGCUUAGAAGCAGCCAUCAUUUAAAGAAAGCGUAAUAGCUCACUGGUCGAGUCGGCCUGCGCGGAAGAUGUAACGGGGCUAAACCAUGCACCGAAGCUGCGGCAGCGACGCUGAUGCGUUGUUGGGUAGGGGAGCGUUCUGUAAGCCUGUGAAGGUGUGCUGUGAGGUAUGCUGGAGGUAUCAGAAGUGCGAAUGCUGACAUAAGUAACGAUAAAGCGGGUGAAAAGCCCGCUCGCCGGAAGACCAAGGGUUCCUGUCCAACGUUAAUCGGGGCAGGGUGAGUCGACCCCUAAGGCGAGGCCGAAAGGCGUAGUCGAUGGGAAACAGGUUAAUAUUCCUGUACUUGGUGUUACUGCGAAGGG